AGUGAACGCUGGCGGUAUGCUUAACACAUGCAAGUCGAACGGCAGCACAGUAAUAGCUUGCUUUUACGGGUGGCGAGUGGCGGACGGGUGAGGAAUACAUCGGAAUCUACUUUUUCUUGGGGGAUAACGCAGGGAAACUUACGCUAAUACCGCAUACGACCUACGGGUGAAAGCAGUGGAUCUUCGUACCUUGCGCGAUUGAAUGAGCCGAUGUCGGAUUAGCUAGUUGGCGGGGUAAAGGCCCACCAAGUCGACGAUCCGUAGCUGGUCUGAGAGGAUGAUCAGCCACACUGGAACUGAGACACGGUCCAGACUACUACGGGAGGCAGCAGUGGGGAAUAUUGGACAAUGGGGGCAAGCCUGAUCCAGCUAUACCGCGUGGGUGAAGAAGGCCUUCGGGUUGUAAAGCCCUUUUGUUGGGAAAGAAAAGCAGCAGGUUAAUACCCCGCUGUUCUGACGGUACCCAAAGAAUAAGCACCGGCUAACUUCGUG
rnacentral:rRNA from 1 species